rnacentral:rRNA from 1 species
UACGAAGGGGGCUAGCGUUGCUCGGAAUUACUGGGCGUAAAGCGUGCGUAGGCGGUUCGUUAAGUCUGUCGUGAAAGCCCUGGGCUCAACCUGGGAAUUGCGAUGGAUACUGGCGAGCUAGAGUACGGUAGAGGAUGGUGGAAUUCCCGGUGUAGCGGUGAAAUGCGUAGAGAUCGGGAGGAACACCCGUGGCGAAGGCGGCCAUCUGGACCAGUACUGACGCUGAGGCACGAAAAGCGUGGGGGAGCAAAACAGG